UGCAAGUUUAGUACAUUCCGGCAUGCAAAAGAGCAAUCCAAACAGACCGAAAGUCAGCUCUGCUUUGCUAAAUUGCACUGGCUACCUUAUGCUAAUUGUCUCUGCAGCAGAGUUUAUCAUAAGGAACUAGGCCUUGGUGAAGUGCUGGAUCAUGAAGGGCAAGAUGAAAGCCAUAGCCUGAAAGCCACUGGACAACACUGAGGAAAGAGAAGAUGCCCCGCUGUGCGAGGCAGAUUUGGGAACAGAGGGAUCCCACUGGCCGUAAGCGACAUUGUGUGGUUCAGUUUUAGGAGCCUUACCUGUUGGGUAAUGACCAGAUCCCAGACUGAGCUUUCUAAGAAGUCUUGUCUAAUGGCAGGAUGAAGCACACAGGUCACUGAUGUCCUCAUUCCAAACAUUCUGUGCCUUCUCAAGCAGUGUACACAUACAAAUACACAUUCUACCUGUUUGCUGCCAAAAUGAUUAACGGAGGCUGGCAUGGGUUCUCAUGUCAAGAUUAUGAUGGCUUCAGCCAAUGUUUGAUUUUAUUCAUCAGCAUUUUGAGGGGAAGCAGAAUCAAGCCUGGGGCAAUAGCAGCCAUUGUAGCUGUUAGCUCAUGCACAUAAAUUCCCUUGUGGUUCACUGUCUACACUAGCAAUGUCAGACCCUCAUGUCAACAAUAGUGUAAUUCUCUGCAACCUAUAGGCUGUGUGGUUUCUGAUCUGAAGCCAGACUUCUCAUGGGAAAAUAAAGUUUGACAGGGAAACUUUCACCACUUUAAAAAAAAAUGUUUCAAUCCAGAGCAGCACUGCUUUGUGUUUGCCACACACUCUCCUGGUAUCGAUUGUUACAAAUUUAAAAUCUGGGAUUUUUUUUUAACAUGCAUUAGGAGCCAAAUGUUGUCAGUCUAGACUCUAGAGUAACUGCUAUUUUACAUUGAAUUGCUGUUAAUUUACACCAGACCAACUGAGAUCAGAAUGUGACCCUGUAUCCUUUGCUGUUUUGUUAAAGCCCUUUGCACAAUAAUAUCAUAUUAAAAACAACUG